CAGGAGUUAGUUUCAUUUAAAAUAUUGAUUUUGGGGAUCAAGGAUAAAAGUUUUUUUUACUCCUGA
rnacentral:tRNA from 1 species